UUGUCUCUGACAUGUCCUCCAUAGGAGGUCUGUAUUGAGCAGAUUUUUGGUUUUGGGAGCUGGAGCUGGAGCUUGCUCCAUCCUCUCCAUGCAUCGGCCUGGUAUUUCAGUACUUCCAGGAGCGGUGC
ensembl:snRNA U2 U2 spliceosomal RNA